GAUGAAGAACGCAGCGAAAUGCGAUACGUAAUGUGAAUUGCAGAAUUCAGUGAAUCAUCGAAUCUUUGAACGCAUAUUGCGCUCUCUGGUAUUCCGGAGAGCAUGCUUGUUUGAGUAUCAGUAAACACCUCAACUUCCAUAUCUUUUUUGAAAUGGGAGUUGGACUUGAGUGAUCCCAACGCUUUUCCUCACCGAAAAGUGGCGGGUUACUUGAAAUGCAGGUGCAGCUGGACUUUUCUCUGAGCUAUAAGCAUAUCUAUUUAGUCUGCCUAAAAACAGAUUAUUACCUUUGCUGCAGCUAACAUAAAGGAGAUUAGUUCUUGUGCUGACUGAUGCAGGAUUCACAAAGACAGGCUUCGGCCGACUUUGUAAACUCGAUCUCAAAUCAAGUAAGACUACCCGCUGAACUUAAGCAUAUCAAUAGCGGAGGA
rnacentral:misc_RNA from 1 species